GCCCAGACUCCUACGGGAGGCAGCAGUGGGGAAUUUUGGACAAUGGGCGAAAGCCUGAUCCAGCCAUGCCGCGUGAGUGAUGAAGGCCUUCGGGUUGUAAACCUCUUUAGGCCGGGACGAAAUGGCGCGGGCUAAUAUCCCGCGUCGAUGACGGUACCGGAAGAAGAAGGACCGGCUAACUACG
rnacentral:rRNA from 1 species